ACUUCCGCCCCAGGGACCACUUCCGCCCCAGGGACCACUUCCGCCCAGGCACAGAGUCGCAGACAGCCCCACCCUAGCCCCGCCCCUUUACAGGCAUGGCCAAUCAGGGCAGGGCUUCCCUCUGACCAUGGUGAUUGGCUGAGGGACGUGCACAAGAUCGAGUGAGACCAGUCAGAAUCAGGCGUGGGAGUUGCCGUGGAAACUUGGCGAAGAAGCGCCUCCUUGCGCGCUGGCCUCUGUGGGGGCGGGAGCUGCGGGCAGCUUGUAGUUACAGGGUGCUGCUGAGGAAGAAGCGAAAGAGGAAAGCAUGCCGCGCCCUGGGAGAAAGACUGUGGCAAAGCUCCAGGAGUAAAGAGCAGAGAUUCACAGACUCAGAAAAAGCUGGAGAAUUGGCAUCAGGAUUGAGAGAAAGAUACAUUCCCUGGCUGGGAACUAGUUGAUAUUUGUUGAAUAUCUACAAUGUGCCAGAGGUGAUAUACAAAAUUGCACCACUCUGGUUCAGAGCUCUACAGUAGAGUCGGGAAGUCAUUCUAAGAAGGACCGACUACAUGAGAGGCAACCUUGCAAAAACGCCAGGAACUUGCCUUGAACCCUUGAACCGGGAUAAAGUACCUGUACAGAGACAUACUGGGAAUCAGCAGAGUUUCGCGAGCUCUCCAGCAUCUGAAUCAUAGCCGCCAAUAAACUACUAGCCACCAAUGAA